UACGGGGGGGGCAAGCGUUGUUCGGAAUUACUGGGCGUAAAGGGCCAGUAGGCGGCCAACUAAGUCGGAUGUGAAAUCCCCAGGCUUAACCUGGGAACUGCAUCCGAUACUGGAUGGCUUGAAUUCGGGAGAGGGAUGCAGAAUUCCCAGGUGUAGCGGUGAAAUGCGUAGAUAUCUGGAGGAAUACCGGUGGCGAAGGCGGCACUCCUGGACCGACAUUGACGCUGAACGGCGAAAGCUAGGGGAGCAAACGGG
rnacentral:rRNA from 1 species